UACUGCCCCUCUACUUUUCCUAUUAAGAUGGUAUUUAAUCCUGACUUCUGAAAGCCACCUCUUUAAGUUAUUCAUUUUCCUUCAGUGUAUUCCAUGGAUACCUGAGGUAUACAAGUUAAUAAACUUGUUUGUUUUUUUCUUGAUAAUUGGCCUUUAGUAUAGGAUUUCAGCUAAGAAGUCAGAAAGAUGGAGGGAAAAUUAUUUUCCUCCCGUACAGUUUAUGGUGACAAAGGAUGGGAUUACUGAGAUACGCUGCUUGUUCCAGAGCCUGCUGAUGGGAUCCUGGGAGAACUGGCAGAAACCAGCAAUGGGACACAAUUGGAAACAUUGGCUAUAUUGCCAAAGUUUUGACUGGAAUGUGUUAUUGAGAAGGAUGUGCAUAUCAGCUUUAAGGAACUAAGGCUGACUUUAUAGAGCCAAUGAAGUCCCAUCAGAAGCAAAAACACCUGGUAUCUUGCUUUCAGAGUUCUCAGCCUUACCAGAUGAUUAACACUCCGUCCAAGAAAGACAAACGGAGAAAGAGAGCAGAAAAAUAAAAUUAAGUA